rnacentral:rRNA from 1 species
GACGAGGGGUCCAAGCGUUGUUCGGAAUCAUUGGGCGUAAAGCGGGUGUAGGCGGCUCUAUAAGUCAGGAGUGAAAGCCCCGAGCUUAACUUGGGAAGUGCUUUUGAUACUGCAGAGCUUGAAUGUGGGAGAGGAUAGUGGAAUUCCAGGUGUAGUGGUGAAAUACGUAGAUAUCUGGAGGAACACCGGUGGCGAAGGCGGCAUCCUGGACCGGCAUUGACGCUGAGGCGCGAAAGCUAGGGGAGCAAACGGG